CCUGAUGAUAUUAGACUUGUCUUACUAAAUUUGUUAAAUUUUGAUCCUCACGUAGCCUGUCAUUCUCAGACCGUGACUUAGCCUGUCGUUAUGACCCUGGCUCAACUGAGAUGCAUCUCACACUUUCGGUUGGUGAUUGGCUCUGAAACCAAAUAUAAAAAUUCGGCUCGCUAAUAAUAAUAACUCGUUGUUUCUAUACCAGCAGCCUAAAAUGUCUAAACCAUCAUCUGUUGUGAGACUAUUAAAAUGUCAUAGAAGUUUAUUUAAUUAAUGGU
rnacentral:lncRNA from 1 species